UACGGAGGGUGCAAGCGUUAUCCGGAUUCACUGGGUUUAAAGGGUUCGUAGGUGGGAAAGUAAGUCAGUGGUGAAAUCUCCGUGCUUAACACGGAAACUGCCAUUGAUACUAUUUUUCUUGAAUUUUCUGGAGGUCAGCGGAAUAUGUCAUGUAGCGGUGAAAUGCUUAGAUAUGACAUAGAACACCAAUUGCGAAGGCAGCUGACUACAGGGAUAUUGACACUGAGGCACGAAAGCGUGGGGAUCAAACAGG
rnacentral:rRNA from 1 species